UACGUAGGGGGCGAGCGUUGUCCGGAGUUACUGGGCGUAAAGGGCUUGCAGGCGGUCCGACACGUUUUGUGUGACAGCGGGUGGCUUAACUACCCGAGGAUACGAAAGACGGUAGGACUUGAGGACUCGAGAGGGACACGGAAUUCCGGGUGGAGUGGUGAAAUGCGUAGAGAUCCGGAGGAACACCGAAGGCGAAGGCAGUGUCCUGGCGAGUGACUGACGCUGAGGUGCGAAAGCCAGGGGAGCGAACGGG
rnacentral:rRNA from 1 species